GGGCAUAAAGUGUGUGCAGACGGUUUAUUAAGUUGCUUGUUUAAUUCUUCGGCCUAACCGAAGGCUCGCAAGCAAAACUGGUAGACUUGAGGAUGGAAGAGAGAAGUGGAAUUCUCGGAGUAGCGGUAAAAUGCGUAGAUCUCGAGAGGAACACCAAUGGCGAAGGCAGCUUCUUGGUCCAUUCCUGACGUUCAUACACGAAAGCGUGGGGAGCAAACAGGAUUAGAUACCCUGGUAGUCCACGCCGUAAACGAUGAUCACUAGACGUCAGUUUCGUUUAACGAAAUUGGUGUCGUAGCUAACGCGUUAAGUGAUCCGCCUGGGGACUACGGUCGCAAGACUAAAACU
rnacentral:rRNA from 1 species